AGGAUAACAUUGUUCUCAAGAUUGAUUUGCCAUGAAAUUGUUUACUUGUUUGUCACAACUCUGUGUUGUCAAGCAAAAUGUGAAACAGGGUUCCAGAAUGAACAAGAUUGGUUGUUACAGAACUCAUUGUGUACGUUGACAAUUUUGCAGUUAUGGUAGGCUUUCUGGUUAUAUCACUCAUGGUACCAGUUAAACAAUAUACUGUGAUCUUUUUU
rnacentral:misc_RNA from 1 species